ensembl:lncRNA
CUUUAUUAACUCAAUGAUAUAUAUAUACAUAUAUAUAUAUUUUUACAUUGUUUGCAAACAUAUGUGAGACACUGUAUUAAUGCCAAAAUAACAUGCAAAACAGGGGUGCUCAAAACGGGGGUCGCCACUGAUACGUCUAUAGAAAGUAUGACACAUUUGAAUAGAUUGUCCUUUUUGAUCUAGGUCAUUUCCCAAGCCCCAACACAUUAAAGGUUUUUUAAUAGAGAAUGGUAAAGUAUCCAUACAUUCUCAGUGUCAGAUGUAGUGGAGCUCCAUCAUUUCCUGAAGAAUCUCCUCCAAGGCCGCCUCCGUGGUCAGUUUGGGAGGCUUGUGACAGCCAAUGAACUACAACAAAUCAAUCCCACUACAAAUCUAGUCAAUUCAGGAAAAGUGGAAAAACUCUGAAAAUGUCCAUUUUUGUCUUGGAUCAUGAUGACUACAAAUGCACAGAAGUGUGAACACAAUUGGGUCCACAGCAAAUAUGGUCGACAGUCCCUCAGAUAAGAGUGACAAGGAGCGGCGUUUGACUAUCAAUUAUUCCUUCAGUACUACACGAGUGUGUAGCGAUUAAUUUAUGAUUGGGCAUUAGAGUAGCCUACCUCCUUGGUGUCCUCCAGUGUGGUGUAUGUGUAGUCUGCAGGGAGUGGAGGUGGCGGCUGGUCUGGACAAAGUGUCUGGUGAGAGCCAGCUGCUGCCUCAGCAUGUUGAGUGCAAACACAGCAGGGCUGUAUGCACUGAGGGCCGGGGAAGAGAGAGACAAUAGAGGUGUGGUCAGUAGGAUGAAGAGCUGGGCCUUUCCUAUUUAGAUAAGAGAUUAUGCUUCAGGCAUUGUGUUAAACAAUGGUGACAAUGAGGUCACCAAAACCAAUGAUGUAUACUGAAAACAAAUAUAAAUGCAACGUGCAACAAUUUCUAAGAUUUUACUGAGUUACAGAUCAUAUAAGGAAAUCAGUCAAUUGAAAUACAUUAAUUAGGCCCUAAUCUAUGGAUUUCACACGACUGGGCAGGGGUACAGCCAUAGGUGGGUCUGGGAGUACAUAGGCCAACCCACUGGGGAGCCAGGCCCAGCCAAUCAGGAUUAGUUUUUCCUCACAAAAGAGCUUUAUUAAAGACAGAAAUACACCUCAGCCCCCACCACCCUUAGGUGAUCCCGCAGGUGAUGAAGCCAGAUGUGGAGUUUCUGACCUGACGUGAUUACAUGUGGUCUGCAGUUGUGAGGCCAGUUGGAUGUACUGCCAAAUUCUCUAAAACGACAUGGUUACACAUUGUUAUGAUAGAGAAAUUAACAUUAAAUUCUCUGGCAACAGCUCUGGUGGACAUUCCUGCAGUCAACAUGCCAAAUGCACACUCCCUCAAAACCUGACACAUCUGUGGCAUUGUGUUGUGACAAAACUGCACAUUUUAUGCCUUUUAUUGUCCCCAGCACAAGGUGCACCUGUGUAAUGAGCAAGUUGUUUAAUCAGCUUCUUGAUAUGCCACACCUGUCAGGUGGAUGGAUUAUCUUGGUGAAGGAGAAACGCUCACUAACUUUUCCUACACUUUUCAAAAACCUUUGACACCACAGGUAGUAUACUAAUGGGCCUGUAGUUAGUCACGUCAGCAGGGUCGCCUGAUUUAAAGAUGGCCGUUAUUAUGGCCGACUUCCAUACCCUUGGAAACACCCAGAGACCAAUAGAUGUGUUGGUGACCCUAGUAAUGGGGCCAAUGAGUGACUCUUUGUAGUUUUUAAGAAAGGUAGAGUCCAGCCCAAACACAUCUUUGGCUUUAGAGUUCUUUAGUGAGCUAAUCACCUUGUUCACCUUUGACUCAGAAACCUCCCUUAUGAUGAAGACAGGUUGAGCAUAAUUUACUAGCACUGAUCACAAGAUACCAGUGGAGGGGUUCUGUGUCAGUACCCUGACAGAGUCAAUAAAGUAGGAAUUGAAGGCUAUUGCUAUUUCGACUGCAUCCUGUGUUGGAUUGUUAUUCACCAUGAUUUCUAGUCUUUUUGCAGUGUUACUAUGGUCUUUCACUGUUAACUUUUUUAGAUUCUCCGAGAUCAGUUUAGAAUUUCCCUUUGCUUCACCAAUUAUGUUAAUAAAAAAGUUUGCCUUGGCCUGUCUGAUUUCUUUCAACACCUUAUUUCUCAACAUGGUAAACCUACGUCUGUCAUGCUCUAAUUUGGAUCUUAGGGCUAUUUUUAGAGCAUAAUCUGGUUCUUUCAUCAAUUUCCUGAUUUCUCCAUUUAGCCAAGGAAGAGUUCUCUUUUGGCCAGGUUUGGAUUUGAUUUUCUUUAGGAAACCAUUUAUUGUAGUCUGGAUUGUGGAUAGAAAAACUUGACUAUCAGCUUCCACGUCUGUAUAGGACAAGAGAUCAUUCCAGUUAAUUCCCCUAAUUGCGUUUUCAAAAUAGCUUAAUUCACUCUUAGGUAUUCUUAGUUGAUCCGGCUUUCUAACAGUAGAGAGGUUAAACCUGCUCUUAGACAGCUUUCUGGCUAUAAGUGUCAGAUUAUGAUCAGAUAGCCCAGUAACCAUAUUGAAUGAUUUAUGUUUAGCUCACAUAAUAUAACUUAAAAGUAUGCAUUAAGGUGUCUGUAAUAGUAUACAUGUGGCAAAAACAAAUGUAGAUAUUAGAUGCAUUUGUAUAGCUCCCUUUAAAAAAAUUACAAUGGUGGGGGAGUGCCAAGAUGGUAUAGGCACUGUGGCUUCAAAACAGCGCCACCUGUCAAUCAUCUAGUGUAUAUAUAAAUCACUGGGUGAAACAGUGCAUCAACUACUGUAGCAUAAAAUCCCAAAACUACUUUAGAAGUUUGAGGCUCAACUGAGGAAUUUUAUUAAAUGGGUUUAUUGUUAUUUUUUUAUGAGCGAGAAUUCUGCCUCUAUCAUCUGAACCGUGGCUGUAAAGACACACCCUCCACGGGCUCUGCACUGACUCGCCAUGGGUUAGAUCCACAUAGGCCAUCCCAACCGCCGGCCCUUGGGCUGCCAUACCUACACAGACAGGGGAAUGACAGACGGGUAGACAUGUAUAAAUUACACUGACUAAAAUGCAAAUGUUUUUCUUUGUUGCAAAUGUUACUGUACUUAGUUAGUGGACAAACUGGUGGACCAGGUGAAGGCCAGUCCGUCUGGUUGGGUCUGCAUCUCGGACAAGGUGAAGGCCAGUCACUCUGAUUGGGUCUGCACUGGGGCCUCUCUCACACACCUCGGCGAGCGCCUCUUCAAAACUUGAGACGGCAUGAUAGUUUCAGCCACAGAGUGGGAGCGAGAUGACCUGGAAUAGAAAGCCCUGCUGCCACGGAAUGAAUCAGCGAUUUUACUGUAGUCUGUGGUUGAUGUGGGACUGAUUGUCCUUCUCUGAGACACUGGAGUACUUGUCGCUCCAAGAUGUGUCUGAGACGCUGUAGUCCAUGACCUCGCUGACCUCCCAAUGCAUCUUUGUCCCCGUCUCUGUCUCCCAAGUGCUCGGAGAUCUCGCUGACACUACUCUGGUCUGUUUCAGUCUUGAUCUCACUCUUGUAGUCCUCCCUGGGCUCUUCUGAUGGGAUCCUCUCCUCACACCUCCAGUACCACUGGCUGUCAUUAUCACACACCUUUUUUUCUUUUUUUUUCUCCGACAUUCCAAGCGUGACCGGUGCGAGGUCGUCCAGUGACAUAAUAUUAAUGUUGAAUUC